CUUCGGUGAUGAUAAGAUGACGAGUCAGAAGUGGGUGCCUCUUGAUGUGGUAUCUGUGCAGCAUCAUGUUCUGUGAUGCUGCAUGUGGUUCUUCAGCAGGAGCAUCUGUCAUCAUUGGUUGAUUUAGAGGCAUUUGUCUGAGAAGG
rnacentral:snoRNA from 1 species